UACGGAGGGUGCAAGCGUUAUCCGGAUUUAUUGGGUUUAAAGGGUCCGUAGGCGGAUCUGUAAGUCAGUGGUGAAAUCUCACAGCUUAACUGUGAAACUGCCAUUGAUACUGCAGGUCUUGAGUGUUAUUGAAGUAGCUGGAAUAAGUAGUGUAGCGGUGAAAUGCAUAGAUAUUACUUAGAACACCAAUUGCGAGGGCAGGUUACUAAGCAACAACUGACGCUGAUGGACGAAAGCGUGGGGAGCGAACAGG
rnacentral:rRNA from 1 species